AUACUGUGAGCUCGAUGAGUAGGGCGGGACACGUGGUAUCCUGUCUGAAUAUGGGGGGACCAUCCUCCAAGGCUAAAUACUCCUGACUGACCGAUAGUGAACCAGUACCGUGAGGGAAAGGCGAAAAGAACCCCGGCGAGGGGAGUGAAAAAGAACCUGAAACCGUGUACGUACAAGCAGUGGGAGCCUCUUAAUGGGGUGACUGCGUACCUUUUGUAUAAUGGGUCAGCGACUUAUAUUCUGUAGCAAGGUUAACCGAAUAGGGGAGCCGAAGGGAAACCGAGUCUUAACUGGGCGUUAAGUUGCAGGGUAUAGACCCGAAACCCGGUGAUCUAGCCAUGGGCAGGUUGAAGGUUGGGUAACACUAACUGGAGGACCGAACCGACUAAUGUUGAAAAAUUAGCGGAUGACUUGUGGCUGGGGGUGAAAGGCCAAUCAAACCGGGAGAUAGCUGGUUCUCCCCGAAAGCUAUUUAGGUAGCGCCUCGUGAAUUCAUCUCCGGGGGUAGAGCACUGUUUCGGCAAGGGGGUCAUCCCGACUUACCAACCCGAUGCAAACUGCGAAUACCGGAGAAUGUUAUCACGGGAGACACACGGCGGGUGCUAACGUCCGUCGUGAAGAGGGAAACAACCCAGACCGCCAGCUAAGGUCCCAAAGUCAUGGUUAAGUGGGAAACGAUGUGGGAAGGCCCAGACAGCCAGGAUGUUGGCUUAGAAGCAGCCAUCAUUUAAAGAAAGCGUAAUAGCUCACUGGUCGAGUCGGCCUGCGCGGAAGAUGUAACGGGGCUAAACCAUGCACCGAAGCUGCGGCAGCGACACUAUGUGUUGUUGGGUA
rnacentral:rRNA from 1 species